rnacentral:lncRNA from 1 species
CUCCCCUCUUUUUAUCUCUCUCUCCCUCUCUCUCUCUCGCUCUCUUCUACCCUCUCUCCUCUGCCUCCUCACAUCUUUGCCUCUCUCUCUCCCUCUCUCUCUCUCAUCUCUCUCGCUCUCUUCUACCCUCUCUCCUCCUGCCUCCUCCCCUCUUUUCCUCUCUCUCUCUCUCCCUCUCUCUUUCUCUCUCUUUCUCUCUCUCUCUCUCAACCCCUCUCAUUCAUUUUCUCUCUCCAUCCAUCUCAUCCCCUCCCUUUCUUCUUCUCUCAGAAAUUAGAGGUGAUGGUUGAAGAGGCAUCUGAGAGGAGUGAGUGGUCAUCAGCUCUAUACCACCCCUCCUGGUGUCAAGAACAGAAGACAAGAUACAAGUCCACUCCCAGCCCCUCCCAGCCCCUCCUGGAGCCUCAGACCAGUACAACCAGCUGACAGAGGUCCUCACACAGCAAUAACAGGUUACUAUAAAACUUCCUUUAUUACACACUGAAUUACACUGGUUAUCACAGUACCCUAACUGACUCUGUGCCUCUCCUCCCUCCAUCAGAAGUGUCUGUGCCAGCUGUUCACCCACAUGGGGGAGAUCACUGAGACAACUAGGUCUGUGCUGGCCCUUUUCAUUACCUCUUAUGCAUUGAUAAACGAUAUGUAAGUUAUAUAACGGAUAGCAGACAGGUGGACAUGUGCUGCCUUAGGACAGGUCAGACACGCAGAACGACACUGUUGAUGUGAGAAUGUGUAUUGUUUAGACAGGUUGGAGGUGCUGUCAGAGUGGUGUAGGAGACACCUGGAGGUAGUGAAACAGGUACAGAGUAGAGGACACCUGUUACCCCCAUACACAGAGGAACGCACCUUCAACACAUACAGGUACACUACCAACACAGACACCUCACACAACACACCCAGUCACAAAUGACACAUAGAGGAACUCACCUUCUACACGUGCAGGGGCUUGUUACAAGUGCAUUAAGAGACCAGAGCUGUGGCCCUCUAGUGGUGGUGUUGUGAUAUAGCCAUUCAGUCCAGUCCUGGGGUUCGUUUCUGCUAGUGCAAGGUGAGGUAAGUACAGCCAGACAACCCUAUGGCUUUUUCCAGUUCCAGGCAUUGAAUAAGAAUGAUUUCCCUGAAACGUUUGUGUGUGCAUGUGUGUGUCCACGGCCGACAGAUGGCUGCAUUGACUGUCCCUGACAGAGACAGAGGCAUAGAC